rnacentral:rRNA from 1 species
AUUGAACGCUGGCGGCAUGCUUUACACAUGCCAGUCGAACGGUAACAGGCCGCAAGGUGCUGACGAGUGGCGAACGGGUGAGUAAUUCAUCGGAACGUGCCCAGUCGUGGGGGAUAACUACUCGAAAGAGUAGCUAAUACCGCAUACGAUCUAUGGAUGAAAGCGGGGGACCGUAAGGCCUCGCUCGAUUGGAGCGGCCGAUGUCAGAUUAGGUAGUUGGUGGGGUAAAGGCUCAACAAGCCAACGAUCUGUAGCUGGUCUGAGAGGACGACCAGCCACACUGGGACUGAGACACGGCCCAGACUCCUACGGGAGGCAGCAGUGGGGAAUUUUGGACAAUGGGCGCAAGCCUGAUCCAGCAAUGCCGCGUGCAGGAAGAAGGCCUUCGGGUUGUAAACUGCUUUUGUACGGAACGAAACGGCUCUGGUUAAUACCCGGGGCUAAUGACGGUACCGUAAGAAUAAGCACCGGCUAACUACGUG